GACGAACGCUGGCGGCGUGCUUAACACAUGCAAGUCGAACGCUGAAGCUCAGCUUUUGUUGGGUGGAUGAGUGGCGAACGGGUGAGCAACACGUGAGUAACCUGCCUCCUUCUUUGGGAUAACGCCCGGAAACGGGUGCUAAUACUGGAUAUUCACUGGUCUUCGCAUGGGGGUUGGUGGAAAGGGUUUUUCUGGUGGGGGAUGGGCUCGCGGCCUAUCAGCUUGUUGGUGGGGUGAUGGCCUACCAAGGCUUUGACGGGUAGCCGGGCUGAGAGGGUGACCGGUCACAUUGGGACUGAGAUACGGCCCAGGCUCCGACGGGAGGCAGCAGUGGGGAAAAUUGCACAAUGGGCGCAAGCCUGAUGCAGCGACGCCGCGUGAGGUAUGGAGGCCUUCGGGUUGUGAACCUCUUUCGCUCAUGGUCAAGCCGCAACAAUGGUUGUGGUGAGGGUAGUGGGUAAAGAAGCGCCGGCUAACUACGUG
rnacentral:rRNA from 1 species